UACGUAGGAGGCAAGCGUUAUCCGGAAUUACUGGGCGUAAAGGGCGUCUAGGUGGGACGUCAAGCGGGGUGUGAAAGCUCCUGGCUUAACUGGGAGAGUGCGCUCUGAACUGACGACCUAGAGGGCAGGCGACGGAGGUGGAAUUCCCGGUGGAGUGGUGAAAUGCGUAGAGAUCGGGAGGAACACCAGUGGCGAAGGCGGCCUCCGAGCCUGAACCUGACGCUGAAGCGCGAGAGCGUGGGGAGCAAACGGG
rnacentral:rRNA from 1 species